rnacentral:sRNA from 1 species
UAGACGUGCUAGGCGCGGGCUCUGGCGCAGUGCGCAGCCCGCACGACUGUGCCAGGGUACCACUGCCUGAGUGUGCAUCUACGCUCUCUUGCCAGCACCCGACCCGCCGACGCUCAGCGGCGCCGAGUGCUACGCCUGUAUCGGGGUCCACCAGGAUGAAUGCGCUAUCGGCAGGUCCCGACGGGUCCAGUGUCACCAGGACCAGACCGCCUGCUUCCAGGGCAAUGGCAGAAUGACAGUCGGCAAUUUCUCAGUCCCUGUGUACAUCAGAACCUGCCACCGGCCCUCCUGUACCACCGAGGGCACCACCAGCCCCUGGACAGCCAUUGACCUCCAGGGCUCCUGCUGUGAGGGGUACCUCUGCAACAGGAAAUCCAUGACCCAGCCUUUCACCAGUGCUUCAGCCACCACCCCUCCCCGAGCACUACAGGUCCUGGCCCUGCUCCUCCCAGUCCUCCUGCUGGUGGGGCUCUCAGCAUAGACCGCCCCUCCAGGAUGCUGGGAACAGGGUUCACACACUUCAUUCUUGCUGCUUCAGCCCCUAUCACGUAGCUCACUGGAAAAUGAUGGAAAAU